UGGCUCAAUUGGUAGAGCAUGGUGUUUGCAAUGCCAGGGUUGUGGGUUCGAUUCCCAC
rfam:Salmo salar isolate Sally breed double haploid chromosome ssa03, whole genome shotgun sequence.